rnacentral:rRNA from 1 species
GACGAACGCUGGCGGCGCGCUUAACACAUGCAAGUCGAGCGAGAACCAGGGCUUCGGCCCUGGGGACGGCGGCGAACGGGUGAGUAACACGUGGGUAAUCCACACUCGGCACCGGAAUAGCCCGGGGAAACCCGGAUUAAUGCCGGAUGGCCCGCCGGCCCCGAGGGGCUGGCGGAAAAGGUAGCUUCGGCCUCCGGCCGAGGACGAGCCCGCGACGGAUUAGCUUGUUGGUGGGGUAACGGACCACCAAGGCUGCGAUCCGUAGCUGGUCUGAGAGGACGAUCAGCCACACUGGGACUGAGACACGGCCCAGACUCCUACGGGAGGCAGCAGUGGGGAAUCUUGCGCAAUGGGCGAAAGCCUGACGCAGCGACGCCGCGUGGGGGAAGAAGGCCUUCGGGUUGUAAACCUCUUUCAGGAGGGACGAAGCCACUCGGGUUAAUAGCCCAGAGGGUGACGGUACCUCCAGAAGAAGCCCCGGCUAGCUACGUGCCAGCAGCCGCCGUAAAAC